rnacentral:misc_RNA from 1 species
GUAGGUGAACCUGCGGAAGGAUCAUUACUAAAGAUUCUAUCUUUACUCAUCCACUGUGAACUGUUUACUCCGCAUCAGGGCUUAUUCGUCCAGGUGCGCCGUUUAACUCACUCUUAAUGAAAAAACUUUUGAACUAAAAUAAUACAAAAAAAAACAAAAUACAACUUUCAGCAACGGAUCUCUAGGCUCUUGCAUCGAUGAAGAACGCAGCAUCUGACUGACUUCAGUAC